rnacentral:rRNA from 1 species
UAAUUGAAGAGUUUGAUCAUGGCUCAGAUUGAACGCUGGCGGCAGGCCUAACACAUGCAAGUCGGGCGGUAACAGGGAGAAGCUUGCUUCUCUGCUGACGAGCGGCGGACGGGUGAGUAAUGUAUGGGGAUCUGCCUGAUGGCGGGGGAUAACUACUGGAAACGGUAGCUAAUACCGCAUAAUGUCUUCGGACCAAAGCGGGGGACCUC